rnacentral:rRNA from 1 species
GAACCGAGCGAACGUUGUUCGGAAUCACUGGGCUUAAAGGGCGCGUAGGCGGGCUGUCAAGUCUGGGGUGAAAUCCCGCGGCUCAACCGUGGAACUGCCUCAGAUACUGACGGUCUCGAGGGAGGUAGGGGCGAGCGGAACUGAUGGUGGAGCGGUGAAAUGCGUUGAUAUCAUCAGGAACUCCGGUGGCGAAGGCGGCUCGCUGGACCUUUUCUGACGCUGAGGCGCGAAAGCUAGGGGAGCAAACGGGAUUAGAUACCCCGGUAGUCCUAGCCCUAAACGUUGGGUACUAGAUAGUAGACUAGACAUGGGUUUACUGUCGAAGCAAAAGUGCUAAGUACCCCGCCUGGGGAGUAUGGUCGCAAGGCUG